rnacentral:rRNA from 1 species
CCUACGGGGGGCUGCAGUGGGGAAUAUUGCACAAUGGGCGCAAGCUUGAUGCAACCAUGCCGCGUGUGUGAAGAAGGCCUUCGGGUUGUAAAGCACUUUCAGCGGGGAGGAAGGCGGUGAGGUUAAUAACCUCAUCGAUUGACGUUACCCGCAGAAGAAGCACCGGCUAACUCCGUGCCAGCAGCCGCGGUAAUACGGAGGGUGCAAGCGUUAAUCGGAAUUACUGGGCGUAAAGCGCACGCAGGCGGUCUGUCAAGUCGGAUGUGAGGUCCCCGGGCUCAACCUGGGAACUGCAUUCGAAACUGGCAGGCUAGAGUCUUGUAGAGGGGGGUAGAAUUCCAGGUGUAGCGGUGAAAUGCGUAGAGAUCUGGAGGAAUACCGGUGGCGAAGGCGGCCCCCUGGACAAAGACUGACGCUCAGGUGCGAAAGCGUGGGGAGCAAACAGGAUUAGAUACCCGAGUAGUC